rnacentral:piRNA from 1 species
UGGGAGCUCAGAGAAGACCUCUACAGGAAU